UCAGGAAAGUGGUCAAGUUGAAAUUACCAACAGAACAGUCCUAAAAAUUUUAAAGGUAAGGUUACCUUUCGAGUGUACUAUGGGCCUACCAGACAAUGAGCAAAAUCUCUACGGGCGCUAUGCCAUACUCCAUGGUGUAUGGGAGAGAAUCAAUCAUCUCGGUAGAAAUAGGAAUGCUGAGCUUCAGGACACUAAAUAUGGACAAGGAAACCAACGAAGUAGAGUUAAGGCUUAACCUUGAUCUCUUUGACGAAAGGAGGGAGCAAGCUAAGGUGCGCCUACAAGCUUCAAAUCGCCAAGUACUAUAAUCAGAGGGUUAAGCACAGGUUAUUUUUGACUGGCAAAUUGGUCUUAAGGAAAGUCACUUUGUUUACUAAGGAGAUUAACACUAGGAAGCUUGGCCCUAAGUGGGAAGGUCCCUACAAAGUGGUCAAGGUGUCCAAACCAGGAACUUAUUGGCUAGAGGAUAUGAAAGGGAAAACAUUGCCUCAUCCUUGGAAUGUUGAACACUUGAAAAAGUAUUACCAGUAGUCCAUUUGGUCAACAUGAGAAAAAGGUCGCCCAAGCAACGUAAUGUCGCAAAGAUCAUGUUAUUGUAAAGAACUACUGAUUAUGAUCGUCAAAAUCCUAUGUAACUAUGGUUGCCUUAAUAAAAUCACAAUUUUAUAGUUCAAUAUCGUUAUAUCGCUAGUCACCAAUAUUUGCCUAAGUGAAUUAUGUCACUAAUUUCAAAUUUUAAUCGCCAUGAUGUCACCAGUUUCGCCAUAUAAACCGAUUAAAACAAACUUAUUGUUAUCGCUAAUGUCAAGAUUGCCUAAUUGCUUCUUCUUGUGCAAUUUGCAAAUGAUUCGCCAAGGCAUCUUGAUCACCAAAACGAGUCGCCUGAUUAUUCAAGUUGCAAUGGUAAGGUCUGAUGUUUGCCUGAGUUAAGUUAACUUAAACCUGUUCACCAUAAUUAAGUUUGUUAUUACGUUUACCUGAUUAAGGUGAAUUAAACUUAAUAUGUUCACAUGAUGAUUCUACUCACCAAUUUAUUAAGUGGUACUCGCCUAAGUAUAUCUCGCCAAUAUCAUAGAUCACGAUGUCGCCAAUAGAAGUAGAUAUUAGAGAAGAAACACAUAAGUAUAAAGAAAUAGUUAAUUUUAUUGAUAUCGCCAUUACAUUACAAAAAAAAGAGGAAGUACAACGAAAUGACUAUUAAGGUGGAGAGUUGUUAUUAAUCUCACCCUUCUCUUCUUCGUCCUCUUCAUCCUCCUCUUCCUCUAGAUCAGCGUCAAUCCCUAUGUCUUAGAUAUCGAGGUCUGGAUGGAGGCAUCCAAUCUGCUUCUUGGAUAAGUCAAAACCCUCGCCAAAGUAUCUGAAAGCUGCUAGCUCAACAACUUCGUGGAAGUCAUCCGAGGACUUGUAUUCCUCGAUGACUGACUCCUUGGCGACGACUGACUACUUCUUUAGCUCAGCUAUCUCCUUUUCGAGCCUAGCCAUGGUGGCAUCGUUAUCCUCCUUCAUUCUCUUCAACUCUUCAACUUUCCAAUGGCAUGCCGCUUCUAGGCCCUGAGAUCGACCACUUGUUUCUCCAACUUUGCGGCCACUUGCUGAGCACGGGUCAUCUCGAUUUUGACCAAGGCAGCACGGGCCUGUUGGGUCAUCGCUUCUUCUCUCAUUUGCCUACCACGUCUGAUGAGGGAAGACUCGAGCACCACCGCCUAAAAAAGAAAGAGUGAAUUCUUCAGAGAAAUGAAAAUGCAAAAGUAUUAAACUUAAAUAUAAAAAUAAAUAAUUACCUGACCGACAACAUGGAAGAACUGUGAGAUUGCUCGAUUGAGGUCCAAUCUCCCCACCUCAUCCUUGUCGGCAAGCGAGAUUACCCCCUUAAAGAGUUUCUCCUCCACGACGGGAGGGAUUCCCCAGCAUGGAGACCUUGAUCCCCAAAACAACGCCAGGGUGGCCAUGGUUCCCUCCCCAGGAGCUACAAUAGGUAAAGCCCCCUUGCUCGUCGCCUUGCUUGAUGAUGCCCUAGGCUUGGCUAAGGCCUUGGUAGAGGACCCCUUUUUUUGUCCUCUAUUAGCGGCAUAACCCCCUUCUUUUUAGAGUUAGCUGAUGAUUUGCCCUUCUUCAAGGGCAAGAUGUUGGGCUUCUCGUCCUUUGGGCGUUUCUCGCCAAUGACGAUCUCCUUUGAUGCUGGGGUCGUGCUCUUCGGCUUUGCUCCUUACGCCCUUUGGGCAAGCUUCUUGAGGCUGAUUCUUUUUGAUAUAGCUGCAAAAGAAAACUAAUGUCAGUUAAUGGAAAAGGUAAAAUACUUGAAGAAGAAAGAAGGCAGUACCAUCUGAUUUGAGCUCGGGGGCAACCAUGGUUCUAACCAGGCCUCCGACUAGAGCUCGAGCUUGAGCUUGAGCUACUUGGUUCCCAACUAAGGAAAGAGGGUCGAAGAUUUGCCCCAAGAAGUGUUAGCAGUAUCCUAUCAGGAAGACACGAUAAAACUCUUAUAUGCCUCUUCCUGAUG
rnacentral:lncRNA from 1 species